UUAUACAGCGAAACUGCGAAUGGCUCAUUAUAUAAGUUAUCGUUUAUUUGAUAGUACCUUACUACUUGGAUAACCGUGGUAAUUCUAGAGCUAAUACAUGCUAAAAAUCCCGACUUACGAAGGGAUGUAUUUAUUAGAUUAAAAACCAAUGCCCUUCGGGGCUCACUGGUGAUUCAUAAUAACUUCUCGAAUCGCAUGGCCUUGCGCCGGCGAUGGUUCAUUCAAAUUUCUUCCCUAUCAACUUUCGAUGCUAGAGUAGUGUUCUAGCAUGGUUACAACGGGUAACGGAGGGUUAGGGCUCGACCCCGGAGAAGGAGCCUGAGAAACGGCUACUACAUCCAAGGAAGGCAGCAGGCGCGCAAAUUACCCAAUCCCGACACGGGGAGGUAGUGACGAUAAAUACUGAUACAGGGCUCUUUUGGGUCUUGUAAUUGGAAUGAGUACAAUUUAAAUCCCUUAACGAGGAACAAUUGGAGGGCAAGUCUGGUGCCAGCAGCCGCGGUAAUUCCAGCUCCAAUAGCGUAUAUUAAAGUUGUUGUGGUUAAAAAGCUCGUAGUAGAACCUUGGGCCUGGCUGGCCGGUCCGCCUCACCGCGUGCACUGGUCCGGCCGGGCCUUUCCCCCUGUGGAACCUCAUGCCCUUCACUGGGUGUGUGGGAAAACAGGACUUUUACUUUGAAAAAAUUAGAGUGCUCCAGGCAGGCCUAUGCUCGAAUACAUUAGCAUGGAAUAAUAGAAUAGGACGUGUGGUUCUAUUUUGUUGGUUUCUAGGACCGCCGUAAUGAUUAAUAGGGACAGUCGGGGGCAUCAGUAUUCAAUUGUCAGAGGUGAAAUUCUUGGAUUUAUUGAAGACUAACUACUGCGAAAGCAUUUGCCAAGGAUGUUUUCAUUUAUCAGGAACGAAAGUUAGGGGAUCGAAGACGAUCAGAUACCGUCGUAGUCUUAACCAUAAACUAUGCCGACUAGGGAUCGGACGAUGUUAUUUUUUGACUCGUUCGGCACCUUACGAGAAAUCAAAGUGCU
rnacentral:rRNA from 3 species